CAAUGUCUGUGACAAAACUUUAUAGUGUUACUGUUACUCUGUGGCCAGGUCAAAACCAUUUGAAUGAGGUUAUCCGUUUAUUGUUGUCACCCAUUAAAAAAUAGACAACCGACAACGAAUUAGCCGGUCUUGCUUAAAACAAAAUUAGACCACAUGGAAGAUACCGUUAGCGAGACAACAAUGUCCAAAACCACUUCGGGGGAAGCUAAUAAACAACCCGUCGAAAAACCGAGCAGGAGCGUGAUCGCCAAAAAUUCCGGCUUAAAGAAGUGCUUCUCUGCUCUCGUGGACCGAAAACAGGUGAAUUUGGAUUUGGAAGUGCUAAAUUUAAUGUUGAAACGCGAACUGCAGAUUCCGCUGAAUAAACUGGACCCGGAAUUGGCUACCAUUUUACCGUACAUGGUCGUCCAUUAUGUGAAAUCGUGGCCAGGCUGGCAAAGAAGUGUCGAAUAUUAUUCUGGCAAGACUUCGUUCAAAGCUUGGUAUGAGAAAUUUUACAAAUACAUUACGUUAAAGUUAAGCCAAGUCGUCGAGUUGCAUUAUGGCCAAGCGCAAGCCGAAAUUCGAAAAAAAAGAUUCGAGCUCUACGCGGAAAAGAUAGCGACCAAAAAAAUCUGUAAUAGGAAUAGCCAAACGGAUAGUUUAGCACCUAAAGGGUUCGCGCCGUUUACAAUUGAGGUUACGGGCAAACCGCUAUUAUUGAACACAAUUGUGUUUACGGACACCAGUGAAGGCGAUAUAUUAUUGAAACAACACUCUGUGUUGGACUGGGAUCAAAAUAUUGCCGAAAACAUAACUGUUAGGCAGAUAAUUACGUGGCCAAACGUUGGUGUGCAUCUUUCGAGUCCCGUGUUUAGUUUCUCUAGGAAAAACUUGCAUGAAAUUGCCAGACACAUCAGUGUGGUGGGCACCGCAUUGCCAAACCUUCACCCUAAACUUAUCGAGGAGAUUGGGAUCAUAGAUCAAGCUGAAGAGCGGCAGGUGUAUACCUUGGACUACCUCAGACGAAUGCUUACAGAUUUAUUGGCUGCAUUUAGUUGCGUCAUAAAAUCUAAGCCCGUUAUCGAUGCUUUUCAAGUGAUCUUUGAUGAGUUUCUUGCGGACAUAGAAGAGAUAAAUGUCCUAGUAAAUGAAAAGGUGACAAUGGCUUCCAAUACAUUUGUGUUGUUCAAUAUUGGAGGUCACCUAUACUUUAGGAACAAAAAACUUUCAAAAGGGGCACCUUCUAGAUACGACAUCGGGUUUACGGAAAUGAUAAUACCGAAAAUGCAAACGGCUCUAGUUUCGUUAUCGGCGCCGGAUAAAUUUCGAGCCUAUAUUGAUGAACUUAAAGGGCUUGCUGCUUGUAAAGAAAAUGUGCAACCGAAUAUAACGUUCACUUGCGAGUACUGUUCGGAACGUUACGAAAGUAUCAAAACGUUAGCUUGCCACUUGAAAGACCUCCACAAGAUGGAACAGCCGAUGCUAUGCGUGUCGUGCAAAAAGUCGUUUUCCGCCUUUAAUCUGUCCAAAACGCGAUGGAGUCACGCGUGCCCCAAAAAGUGAUCCUUUUUCAUUCGCGAUCUCUUUUUUUUUUACGGUACAGCAGUCUCCGUAAGUAUGGAGCCUCAAGUGGGCCCCGAGUUUUGCUUUGCCUGCCAGUUUUUUUUUUCCGGAAGUUUUCUUUGUGCCUGCAAUGUAGGUGUACCCGGUGGUCAGUUCAGAAGGGCACUCGGCCAUUGUUCGAAAAGUACUUGGGCUGAAAAAACUAAUGAACUAAUACCAUCCUUUUUUGAUAAAAUAGCCCAGUACGUCUCAAAUACGCCAGUGAAGAUCCCAUUUUGAUGUCUCUUAUAACAUUAGUAAAAGAAAUAAAACAAAAUAAUAUCAAUAUCCUUGGCAAUAGGUUCUGGAUACCUUAAUUAAGUACACUUCACUUUUAAAAUGCCAACAUUAUAUUUAAUUAACACUCAUUCCCAUAUGAUUGAACAAUAACACUGACAAAACACCAAGAUCUUUGAUUUUUAAUGCAAAUCACUUUUUCACAAAUAAGGCCCUUAAAAUAGACUACCUAUAGAUCUAACCUUAACAUGAUUGGCACUUUAACAAAGUCAUUAUAAUUUUUGCUGUUUUGUUUUCCAAAGUCCACUUGGAUUUCAAAAAUUUCGAUUUUUUUUGAUGAAUGGGACUGAGUAUUUUUGUAUUUUAACAGUAAAUUUAUAUAUAUAUAUUACUUAAGAAAUGAAAAUUACACUGAUAAUAUUUCACAAGAUGCAACAUUUAUUUAUUUGCACUAGCGUGUCAAACUCAUAUUUGGCCAUCUUUUGCGACAAUAAAAGUGAUAACCUUUAAGUUUGUUAUGAUGUUACGAAACGACCUCUAGCGGAGAAAUAAGAUUCUAAAUCGGUUUGACAGAAUUUAAAAAUUAUUUCCGCUAUCUUCUGUUUACAAUUAUUGUUCGAUAUUGGGCCAAGUGUCCUUCUCUACCCGCCACCCUGUUACAUGCGUUCUUUUUCGGUGUGCCAUUUUGCGAUUAAGUGAUUAUUUUCAAAGUAUCUUGUAUUAUUUUCAGCUGUCGUAUUUGUACAUAACGCGUAUGUGGGUGUAACGAAGGGCGGCAUCUAGGGAUGACGUGGGCUAUACCGAACUGGUAAUCCCCAGGAUGGAGACGUCCUUAAUUCAUUUCGCGUCCUCGAGCAAGUUCAAAAAUUACUUCAACCAGCUGAGAAAUUUCGAUCCUUCCAGC